AACGAACGCUGGCGGCAGGCCUAACACAUGCAAGUCGAGCGGACCCUUCGGGGUUAGCGGCGGACGGGUGAGUAACGCGUGGGAAUAUGCCCUUCUCUACGGAAUAGUCCUGGGAAACUGGGGGUAAUACCGUAUACGCCCUUUGGGGGAAAGAUUUAUCGGGGAAGGAUUAGCCCGCGUUGGAUUAGGUAGUUGGUGGGGUAAUGGCCUACCAAGCCGACGAUCCAUAGCUGGUUUGAGAGGAUGAUCAGCCACACUGGGACUGAGACACGGCCCAGACUCCUACGGGAGGCAGCAGUGGGGAAUCUUAGACAAUGGGGGCAACCCUGAUCUAGCCAUGCCGCGUGAGUGAUGAAGGCCUUAGGGUUGUAAAGCUCUUUCAGCUGGGAAGAUAAUGACGGUACCAGCAGAAGAAGCCCCGGCGAACUCCGU
rnacentral:rRNA from 1 species